rnacentral:tRNA from 1 species
GCCUGGGUGGCUCAGUCAGUAAAGCGUCUGACUUUAGCUCAGGCCGUGAUCUCAUGGUUCGUGGGUUGAAGCCCCGCACCGGGCU